UACGAAGGGGGCUAGCGUUGCUCGGAAUCACUGGGCGUAAAGCGCACGUAGGCGGAUUUCUAAGUCAGGGGUGAAAUCCUGGAGCUCAACUCCAGAACUGCCUUUGAUACUGGGAAUCUCGAGUCCGGGAGAGGUGGGUGGAACUGCGAGUGUAGAGGUGAAAUUCGUAGAUAUUCGCAAGAACACCAGUGGCGAAGGCGGCUCACUGGCCCGGUACUGACGCUGAGGUGCGAAAGCGUGGGGAGCAAACAGG
rnacentral:rRNA from 1 species